GUUGGAUUACAAAUUAUGUUUUGCUGUUGGCCGACUGAAUUUGUGAGAAAUUAUUAUCUAUUUAGAUAUGGAAAAAGACAUUAGUGUUGUUAUGUCAUGGUUGUUCCAAAUCCACAGUUGAGGCUGAAGAUUUGCAAGGAAAUUUUGUCCAUACUGACAAAGGAAGCUAGAAAAGACACCAACACCCGAGGCACAUCAUUUGUUGGGUCCCCAUUGCUAUUACUGGUCACAGUUUUGACAAUUUAAGAUCUUAGUUAAGAUUAACUUGAGUUGAAUUGUUGGAUAUUUUGAUUUGGUCACGAUCUAAGCUGAAGGCAGUUUGUAAUUUG
rnacentral:misc_RNA from 1 species